GCCCCCGUGGCGCAAUCGGUAGCGCGCACGACUCUUAAUCGUGCGGUUGCGGGUUCGAGCCCCGCCGGAGGCU